GUCAGAACACCUGCCUGCCCUUCCGGCUCCCAUCAUUGGUUUGCUAGGUCCUGAAAGCCUUCCUUCCCCUCUCUGGGCCUCAGUUUCUCCCCUUGGCAGCAUGCAGAUUGGGAUUUUUCUUUUCUUUUAAAUUUCCAGGAUCACCCACCACCAUGUGUGCUUACGUGGAAAAGGAGAGGGCCAAGAGAAGACAGUGGUCCACCUGAUGCUAAGCCAGCCCUAUAUUUCCCAGUGAUGCUCAAGAACAAGGCAUCGCCCUUUCUCCCUACUUCACACUGGCCAAGAAGCCCACAUUGAUGGAGAGGAAUCCUUCAAGCUCAUCUUAACUUCCAUACAUUUUAGUGUACGUCCUCAGCAAAGAGGAAGAGAGACCUAACUGCCCCUCAUUUGACUCAGCCAGCGGCAGCUUGGGAGGAAUGAAGGAUGAAUUGGGAAGCCACGUUUCCUUAGGUCAGCUCAGAACUGCUUGACUCUCAAACUGUUAUCUGGCUGGGAUGGUUUUUUCAAUGUGAUCUCAAACUCGGACCAACAUAACAUAAAGCCCUGAAGAUCAGCCGUUUUUUUUUUUUUUUUUUUUUUGUGUUGGAGCAGACCACUGCUUCUGCUGAAACACUUGAAGUAACUGUGCUGCAAAAUGUUAUCUUUCUAAGGAAUUUUUGAGAAUAAUUUUGAUAACAUACUGUCAAGCCUAAGUGGUUUGGCCUAAAUACUUCUCCCUCACCAGCUGACUCUUGGCUGGGCUUGCUCAGAUCUAUUUACUUGGUUUAAAGCUCAGGGAGUUCUUAGGAGAAUUAUCAUUACCUGUUGACUAAGUGGGCUGGACACAGCUGGAGAGCUGAUAAUAGCUAGCAAGUAUUUUCUGCUCAGUGUUAAUGGAGUUAUACUUGAUCUGAACUCCAGAGUUUUGGAGUCAUUAGGGAGGCUGUGUCUGUGGAUCUCUGGAAAGAAGACGGGGUGCUGAAUAAGGGGGAGCAUAUUCCAGAAUAAAAACCUUAAAAGUUUUGCUCUUAUCA
rnacentral:lncRNA from 1 species